UUUGGCAUUAUAAUAAUGCGAGUACGCGUUUAAGCCAUACCCUUUUUAAAUCAAUUUCAAGUAUAACAUUUCAGUGGUCAACACAUCCAUGUCUAUAAAAAUAGGUUGGGGUAUAUUUCAACCCAAAACAGUUUAUAUUUCCGCGGAACGUAGAAAAUGAAUUUAGCCGAAACCAAAUUCAUCUCUAAUGAAGUUUAAGGUGUGGUAAUGAUCCUUCCGCAGGUUCACCUACGGAAA
rnacentral:misc_RNA from 1 species